rnacentral:lncRNA from 1 species
ACAAGGUUAAAUUAUUGUGUUAGUUAAAACAGUUGUGUUAGUAAAAGAAAUAAUUAGCGAGGAUGAUGAGAACUUUUCGAGAUUAUUAUAUCUAUUGAAAUGUAUUUUCAUUUUUGUUUAUAGUAUUUCAAGAAUUAACCAAUUAUGUUGUCCUCAACAAUAUGAAUCUGCGCCAAGUGGAUAAUUUAUAUCUUGAAUUAGGCGAAAAUCAAGUAGAGUCGAGUAAGAGUUGUGAAACACGAGGUGAAACCACUGAAGACAAUAUUAUAGAAAGAG